ensembl:lncRNA
AUUUCGGGGAAUUUCACCAGUGGAAUCUUCAGUAUUUUUCAUCAGAAUGAUUGAAGAUUAAUUACGGCGGAAGUUUCUGCUUUUGAAUCGCUGUUUAGGACCAUUCAUCUGGUCCUGAAAGAGCCUUCAAGCUCUGAAGGUUGGAGUGGCCGUAGCCAUGGAAAGAACCCAAAAGCAUGGAAAGAACCAAAAAGCACUGUGCGUUGUUUUCAUCGAAGUCACGCGGCAAUUUCAUUAAAUCAAAAGAAAUAACUCAAAGGAAGAAGAGAUGGAAUUGCCAGGUUGCCCACUUGUGUGCUGUGACAUCCCCCAGCCUGUUCCAUGAAGCCCAUACAACACGACUUCACCAGAGCCCAGGGAAGGAAACACGGCACUUGAGAUGUGGCAUAAGCACUGGCCAGGGUGGCUUGGGCUGUUCCUCUGCAUGCUUCACAGCUGCAGGAGUGCACAGAAGAGUUCUGCUUCAGGACUUUUCAGUGAAUUGACAUCUUCGUAGCUGCAGAACUGUUAUGGCCCUC